ensembl:snoRNA
ACCCUCCGGUUCCCUUUCCCAUCGGAUCUUGACGCUGGUCUUGGUGGUCGUAAAGGAGGGAGAGCAUGCUGAAACUGGCCGGCCUCACAGCUAUGUAGUCUGCUAUAGAGCACGGGGUCAGAUUCAUACAUGC